rnacentral:rRNA from 1 species
CCCUUAGAUGUUCUGGGCCGCACGCGCGCUACACUGAUGCAUUCAACGAGUUUCUUCCUGGUCCGAGAGGAAUGGGUAACCUUUUGAAAGUGCAUCGUGAUAGGGAUAGACUAUUGCAAUUAUUGGUCUUCAACGAGGAAUUCCUAGUAGACGUAGUUCAUCAGACUGCAUCGAUUACGUCCCUGCCCUUUGUACACACCGCCCGUCGCUCCUACCGAUUGAAUGCUCAGGUGAGCCAUUCGGACUUUCAUCAUGCUGGUUUCCAGUUUUGAUGAAGGAAAGUCUUGCGAACCGUAUCAUGUAGAGGAAGGAGAAGUCGUAACA